GGCUGUACCGUCUCGUGUCAUAGGCACGUAAACAACAUCCAUAAAAGGUAAUCAAAGUAUUGCGUCUGGUAAAAGUAUGAGAGUCCACGUAAAAUUCGAGGAUAAAUGCCUAGUUAUUCCUUGUAAAGAUGGCAAACAGUCUAUAAAAUGGUUGAUUUCAGAAGCAGUGGAAAGAUUUCGAAAGUUACGCAGUACAGAAUCAACAGUGAGCUCACAGUUGGAUGGCUUGUCAAAUAUGUGCAGUUGUCUAUAUUUGCCUAACGGAGGCGGUAUGUUGUUCUUCAACGAUGCCAUCGAAGACGUAUUAGAAAAUGAUGGGUUUGCUGAAUUAAAAAGUAAAAUAGAAAAUGAAGGAUUAUGUAUUUAACUAUUUUUUAAUUGAAGAUAAUAUAACAUAGAUUUAUAAAAAGGAAGGACAUUAGGACAAAUAAUAAACGUUUCUGUUAGAAAGACGUCAAUAUGACGUCAGUGGGAGGCGGGGGGUUGUUGGUAUGACGUCUUUUCCUAGAAUAUAUUAAAUUAUGCUAAAUUUGUUUACAUUUACAGAAUCAAAUGAACAGGGCCAGGAUUUUAAGAAAGAA
rnacentral:lncRNA from 1 species